rnacentral:rRNA from 1 species
UACGAAGGGGGCUAGCGUUGCUCGGAAUGACUGGGCGUAAAGGGCGCGUAGGCGGUUUGGUUUGUUAGGUGUGAAAUUCCUGGGCUUAACCUGGGGGCUGCACUUAAGACGGCCAGGCUUGAGUGUGAAAGAGGGUCGUGGAAUUCCCAGUGUAGAGGUGAAAUUCGUAGAUAGUUGGGAAGAACACCGGUGGCGAAGGCGGCGACCUGGUUCAUUACUGACGCUG